rnacentral:rRNA from 1 species
GGGGAAUUUUGCGCAAUGGGGGAAACCCUGACGCAGCGACGCCGCGUGAGCGAAGAAGGUUUUCGGAUCGUAAAGCUCUGUCACAGGGGACGAUAGUGACGGUACCCUGGGAGGAAGCCCCGGCUAACUACGUGCCAGCAGCCGCGGUAACACGUAGGGGGCAAGCGUUGUCCGGAAUUACUGGGCGUAAAGAGCGCGUAGGUGGUUUAGUAAGUCAGGUGUGAAAGGCCAGGGCUCAACCCUGGGACUGCACUUGAAACUGCUUGACUUGAGGGCAGGAGAGGUAAGUGGAAUUCCCAGUGUAGCGGUGAAAUGCGUAGAUAUUGGGAGGAACACCAGUGGCGAAAGCGACUUACUGGCCUGGCCCUGACACUGAGGCGCGAAAGCGUGGGGAGCGAAC